rnacentral:rRNA from 1 species
CCUACGGGUGACAGCAGUGGGGGAUAUUGCACAAUGGGGGAAACCCUGAUGCAGCGACGCCGCGUGUGGGAAGACGGUCCUCUGGAUUGUAAACCACUGUCCCCAGGGACGAAAAUGACGGUACCUGGGGAGGAAGCUCCGGCUAACUACGUGCCAGCAGCCGCGGUAAUACGGAGGGAGCGAGCGUUGUCCGGAAUUACUGGGUGUAAAGGGAGCGUAGGCGGGGAUGCAAGUUGGGUGUAAAAACUACCGGCUCAACUGGUAGUCGCACUUAAAACUGCAGCUCUUGAGUGAAGUAGAGGCAGGCGGAAUGCCUAGUGUAGCGGGGAAAUGCGUAGAUAUUAGGAGGAACACCAGGGGCGAAGGCGGCCUGCUGGGCUUUUACUGACGCUGAGGCUCGAAAGUGUGGGGAGCAAACAGGAUUAGAUACCCGUGUAGUC